CUCUUACACCUUUGUUCUCUCACCUCUCACUCACUUCUCUCACUCCUCUCUUCCCCCUCCUUUCUCUGUCUUCUCCUCUCUCUCUCCUCACUCUCUCUCUCUCUCUCUCUCUCUCUCUCUCUCUCUGUCUCUCUGUCUCUGUCUCUCUCUCUCUCUCUCUCUCUCACUCUUUCUACCUUCUCUCUUUCUCCCUGCAUUUCUAUAAUAAAUCUCUUAAACCAUACAGAUUCUCUGCUCCAUCAAUACCCGCUGGGCACCCUGCCCAGAACCCAGUGAAUGAAAUAAUGCUCCCAUAACAUGAUUUCCUGGGACUCAUUCAUUCCCGAAGUUCUUCGCUAUAGCAGAGUCAAUAUCAGCAGGGAAGGAUGUGAUUGACCAAGCCACUCCUCUGGAUCUGCUGAACAGCUCCCAUCAGAGCAGUGUGAUCUCAAACUCAAACCCUUUUGCCAUUCUUUCUUGUUUUGUCCUUUCUCUUCCUCACCUCAAGUUACUGAGUCUUUUUUAUGCAUUAAUAAAAUCUAAAGGAAAGUC